UGCGGAAGGAUCAUAGUAAUCGUCU
rnacentral:rRNA from 2 species